rnacentral:rRNA from 1 species
UGGGGAAUAUUGGGCAAUGGGGGAAACCCUGACCCAGCCAUGCCGCGUGAGUGAUGAAGGCCUUCGGGUCGUAAAGCUCUGUGGGGAGGGAAAAAGCGAUGUCCCGUGAACAAUGGGGUGUUGUGAUGGUACCUCCUUAGCCAGCACCGGCUAACUCUGUGCCAGCAGCCGCGGUAAUACAGAGGGGGCAAGCGUUGUUCGGAAUUACUGGGCGUAAAGGGCGCGUAGGCGGCCUCUUAAGUCGAACGUGAAAUCCCCGGGCUCAACCCGGGAACUGCGUCCGAUACUGGGAGGCUUGAAUCCGGGAGAGGGAUGUGGAAUUCCAGGUGUAGCGGUGAAAUGCGUAGAUAUCUGGAGGAACACCGGUGGCGAAGGCGGCAUCCUGGACCGGUAUUGACGCUGAGGCGCGAAAGCUAGGGGAGCAAA